UACGUAGGGUGCAAGCGUUAAUCGGAAUUACUGGGCGUAAAGAGUUCGUAGGCGGUUUGUCGCGUCGUUUGUGAAAACCAGCAGCUCAACUGCUGGCUUGCAGGCGAUACGGGCAGACGUUGAGUACUGCAGGGGAGACUGGAAUUCCUGGUGUAGCGGUGAAAUGCGCAGAUAUCAGGAGGAACACCGGUGGCGAAGGCGGGUCUCUGGGCAGUAACUGACGCUGAGGAACGAAAGCGUGGGGAGCAAACAGG
rnacentral:rRNA from 1 species